rnacentral:rRNA from 1 species
AUUGAACGCUGGCGGCAGGCCUAACACAUGCAAGUCGAACGAGUGGCGGACGGGUGAGUAAUGUCUGGGAAAGUGCCCAAUGGAGGGGGAUAACUACUGGAAACAGUAGCUAAUACCGCAUACAAUCGGAGCGGCCGAGAUGGGAUUAGCUAGUGGGUGGGGUAACGGCUCACCUAGGCGACGAUCCCUAGCUGGUCUGAGAGGAUGACCAGCCACACUGGAACUGAGACACGGUCCAGACUCCUACGGGAGGCAGCAGUGGGGAAUAUUGCACAAUGGGCGCAAGCCUGAUGCAGCCAUGCCGCGUGUAUGAAGAAGGCCUUCGGGUUGUAAAGUACUUUCAGCGAGGAGGCGUUACUCGCAGAAGAAGCACCGGCUAACUCCGUGCCAGCAGCCGCGGUAAUAC